rnacentral:rRNA from 1 species
UAAGUCCCCGUGAAGACGACGAGUGAGGUAGGUUGGGUGUGGAAGUGCACUAAGGCAUGGAGCUGACCAAUACUAAUCGGUCGAGGGCUUAUCCUAAA